rnacentral:tRNA from 1 species
GGAGAGAUGCCGGAGUGGUCGAUCGGGGCUCCCUGCUAAGGAGUUAGGCUGGCAACGGUCUCCAGGGUUCGAAUCCCUGUCUCUCCGCCA